ACUGAAAGUCAAUGAGAUACACAGUAUUUCCAGGUCAAAGGUUGAUAGAGCAAAGGCACCAAGCUUGCGGUUUUCACACUCCUGAGUCAAUACUUUGUAGAAGCACCUUUGGCAGCAAUUACAGUGGUGCCCUUCUUUGCGAGCGGUUGGAAAUCUUCCCUGGUCUUUGUGGUUGAAACUGUGUUUGAAAUUCACUGCUCGACUGAGGGACCUUAUAGAUAAUUGUAUGUUUGGGGUAAAGAGAUGAGGUAGUCAUUCAAAAAUCAUGUUAAACACUAUUAUUGCACACAUGUAACUUAUUAAGCAAAUGUUUACUCCUGAACUUAUUUAGGCUUGCCAUAACAAAGGGGUUGAAUACUUUUUACUCAAGUUGUUUCAGCUUUUCAUUUUUAAUUCAUUUGUAAACAUUUUUAAUAACAUAAUUCCAAUUUGGCACUGUGGGGUAUUGUGUGUAGACCAGUGGAGAAAAAACAUCUAAAUUGAAUUCAUUUUAAAUUCAGGCUCUAACACAACAAAAUGUGGAAAAAGUCAAGGGGGUGUGAAAACUUUCUGAAGAUAUUGCAGAUAAGGGGAGGAGUUGAUACUCAAAGUAAAGUACA